CCUACGGGAGGCAGCAGUCGAGAAUCUUCGGCAAUGGGCGCAAGCCUGACCGAGCGACGCCGCGUGGAGGAUGAAGGCCUUCGGGUUGUAAACUCCUGUCAGAGGGGAGGAAAGCUAGGUGGGCUCUCCCAUCUAGUUGACCUAGCCUCAGAGGAAGCACGGGCUAAGUUCGUGCCAGCACCGC
rnacentral:rRNA from 1 species